rnacentral:tRNA from 1 species
AUCUAUUUAGUAUUAAAAGUAUGAGUGACUUCCAAUCACCCGGCCUUGGUUAAAGUCCAAGAAAAGAUA